AUGGAUCUUGAGGAUAGUUCCUAAGUAUGUAGUUUGUUUUAAUUGACCUAUAUUUGACAUUUAUGUUGAGCUUUUGAUGAUUGUUUCCAUCUAUUAUAUUCUGUUUCCAAUGUGCACACACAUUAUUGUUGUUGGAUUUAUAAUAACAUAAUGAGUCUUUAUUUUAAUGGUGAUUUACACGAUAAGGCACUUUCUGAAAAAAAAAAAAAAAUAUAGCAAAACACACACAAUAUAAGUGAAAGAACCCAGCCCGUUUUUUUUUUAUAUCAUGCAAAACCGG
rnacentral:lncRNA from 1 species